rnacentral:rRNA from 1 species
GACGAACGCUGGCGGCGUGCUUAACACAUGCAAGUCGAACGAAGAGCGAUGGACGCUUGCUUCUCUCAAUCUUAGUGGCGAACGGGUGAGUAACGCGUAAUCAACCUGCCCUUCAGAGGGGGACAACAGUUGGAAACGACUGCUAAUACCGCAUACGAUCUAAUCUCGGCAUCGAGGAUAGAUGAAAGGUGGCCUCUACAUGUAAGCUAUCACUGAAGGAGGGGAUUGCGUCUGAUUAGCUAGUUGGAGGGGUAACGGCCCACCAAGGCGAUGAUCAGUAGCCGGUCUGAGAGGAUGAACGGCCACAUUGGGACUGAGACACGGCCCAGACUCCUACGGGAGGCAGCAGUGGGGAAUCUUCCGCAAUGGACGAAAGUCUGACGGAGCAACGCCGCGUGAGUGAUGACGGCCUUCGGGUUGUAAAGCUCUGUUAAUCGGGACGAAAGGCCUUCUUGCGAAUAGGGAGAAGGAUUGACGGUACCGGAAUAGAAAGCCACGGCUAACUACGUG